rnacentral:snRNA from 1 species
GUAUCAUUCUAGGCCUUCUGGCUAAGAUAAAGUGUAGCAUGUCAGCUUAAUAUAUGAUAUGUGGACCAUAUAUUUACUUUGAUAUUAAAUUUGUUCUUAUGGGUUCUUCAUAGCAAUUUUGGAGAAAAAUAAGUAUAAGGUUUAACCUCAUAUCUUCUUUCCUUCG